rnacentral:rRNA from 1 species
AUCAGUGGCCAUAGCACCCCAAACACACCAAGUUUUGGAAGCUAAGGAGGGUCCAGCCUGGUUAGUAUUUGGAUGGGAGAAGACAGCAUGUGUCAUGGGAACCAAUGAAAGUCCCUGGGCAUGACUAAUA